AUCAAAAAGACACGACUGAGUUAUUAUAUUAUGAAUGAUAAUUUUAAUAGUGGAUAAGUAUCAGGCCUUUGGACCUUCAAUGAUUAUCAGACUAAUGAAUCCAUUAUCAUCCGACAUAAUGGGAGGCUAUGAUCUAGUUGUCUCCAUAAAUAUUUUAUUUUAAAAAUUUAAUAAUUUAUAAGAUUUAUUUUAAUAAUUUGAGAAGCAAUUGAUCGAUGAGUCUUAAAUCAUUGCACUGACUUCAUCAAGUCAUUAAAUUGAACUAGAGACAAGC
rnacentral:lncRNA from 1 species